rnacentral:rRNA from 1 species
UCCGUAGGUGAACCUGCGGAGGGAUCAUUACGAGUUCACAACUCCCAAACCCCUGUGAACAUACCUUAAUGUUGCCUCGGCGGAUCAGCCCGCGCCCCGUAAAACGGGACGAAAAAAACCAGAGGACCCAAACUCUAAUGUUUCUUAUUGUAACUUCUGAGUAAAACAAACAAAUAAAUCAAAACUUUCAACAACGGAUCUCUUGGUUCUGGCAUCGAUGAAGAACGCAGCAAAAUGCGAUAAGUAAUGUGAAUUGCAGAAUUCAGUGAAUCAUCGAAUCUUUGAACGCACAUUGCGCCCGCUGGUAUUCCGGCGGGCAUGCCUGUUCGAGCGUCAUUUCAACCCUCAAGCCCCCGGGUUUGGUGUUGGGGAUCGGCUCUGCCUUACGGCGGUGCCGCCCCCGAAAUACAUUGGCGGUCUCACUGCAGCCUCCAUUGCGUAGUAGCUAACACCUCGCGACUAACGCGGCGCGGCCAUGCCGUAAAACCCCAACUUCUGAAUGUGACCUCGGAUCAGGUA